GAGGUCCUACGGGGGGCAGCAGUGAGGAAUAUUGGUCAAUGGGCGGGAGCCUGAACCAGCCAAGCCGCGUGAGGGAAGAAGGUACAGCGUAUCGUAAACCUCUUUUGUCAGGGAACAAAGGCGGGGACUAGUCCCCGGAUGAGGGUACCUGAAGAAAAAGCAUCGGCUAACUCCGUGCCAGCAGCCGCGGUAAUACGGAGGAUGCGAGCGUUAUCCGGAUUUACUGGGUGUAAAGGGUGCGUAGGUGGCAGGGCAAGUCAGAUGUGAAAGCCCGCGGCUCAACCCCGGUACUG
rnacentral:rRNA from 1 species